rnacentral:rRNA from 1 species
AACACGUAGGGGACGAGCGUUGUCCGGAUUCAUUGGGCGUAAAGCGCGCGUAGGCGGCUCGGAAAGUCGGUCGUGAAAUCCUGGGGCUCAACCCCGGAACUGCGUCCGAUACUCCCGAGCUGGAGGCAGGUAGGGGAGAUCGGAAUUCCUGGUGUAGCGGUGAAAUGCGCAGAUAUCAGGAGGAACACCGGUGGCGAAGGCGGAUCUCUGGGCCUUGCCUGACGCUGAGGCGCGAAAGCUAGGGGAGCGAACAGGA